rnacentral:sRNA from 1 species
CCAGCCGCUGAGACAGGGCUGGCUUCGCCGGGAACGCCGCUUUUGGCACUCCCGUACCCAUGUUGCUUCAAGGAGGAUAUGGCUAUGGCAA